rnacentral:misc_RNA from 1 species
AAAAACAUGUAAGAACUUGCACUAAUAAUUUCCAUAUAACCAAAGGCAGGCAACAUAAAAUGCAAGCAUGUCUACCAUUUGACAUACCUAUUUAGAUUUUGGACAUGAUGGCUUCAAGUUCCACAUUCAAAAUCAAGCAAAACAAAAAAGGUAAAAGGUAUUUUCCUAAAUGUUUAGCUCAAUGGGGAAUCAACAUUCAAUUAAGGUUGUCCAUAAAAAUUUUCAUGUUGCUUACAGAAAAUAUAUAACAUAAAAUGGUUGACAAAAAAAUUGCUAUAUCAUCCAAAAAUUU